UACGUAGGGUGCGAGCGUUAAUCGGAAUUACUGGGCGUAAAGCGUGCGCAGGCGGUUCGUUGUGUCGGCGGUGAAAGCCCCGGGCUUAACCUGGGAAUGGCCGUUGAAACUGGCGAACUAGAGUGUGGCAGAGGGGGGUGGAAUUCCGCGUGUAGCAGUUAAAUGCGUAGAGAUGCGGAGGAACACCGAUGGCGAAGGCAGCCCCCUGGGCUAACACUGACGCUCAGGCACGAAAGCGUGGGGAGCAAACCGG
rnacentral:rRNA from 1 species